AGUGAACGCUGGCGGUAGGCCUAACACAUGCAAGUCGAACGGCAGCACAGGAGAGCUUGCUCUCUGGGUGGCGAGUGGCGGACGGGUGAGGAAUACAUCGGAAUCUACCUUUUCGUGGGGAUAACGUAGGGAAACUUACGCUAAUACCGCAUACGACCUACGGGUGAAAGUGGGGGACCGCAAGGCCUCACGCGCUUAGAUGAGCCGAUGUCCGAUUAGCUAGUUGGCGGGGUAAUGGCCCACCAAGGCGACGAUCGGUAGCUGGUCUGAGAGGAUGAUCAGCCACACUGGAACUGAGACACGGUCCAGACUCCUACGGGAGGCAGCAGUGGGGAAUAUUGGACAAUGGGCGCAAGCCUGAUCCAGCCAUACCGCGUGGGUGAAGAAGGCCUUCGGGUUGUAAAGCCCUUUUGUUGGGAAAGAAAUCCUGUCGAUUAAUACUCGGUGGGGAUGACGGUACCCAAAGAAUAAGCACCGGCUAGCUUCGUGCCAGCCGCCGCAGUAA
rnacentral:rRNA from 1 species